GACGAACGCUGGCGGCGUGCUUAACACAUGCAAGUCGAACGGAAAGGCCUGCUUUCCCUUGUGGAUUGCGGGUACUCGAGCGGCGAACGGGUGAGUAACACGUGAGUGAUCUGCCCCCAACUUGGGUAUAAGCCUGGGAAACUGGGUCUAAUUCCCGAUAGGACUGCAGGGUGGUGCCUGUGGUGGAAAACGAUUUUCUAGUGGUUGGGGAUGAGCUCGCGGCCUAUCAGCUUGUUGGUGGGGUAAUGGCCUACCAAGGCGGCGACGGGUAGCCGGCCUGAGAGGGUGGACGGCCACAUUGGGACUGGGAUACGGCCCAGACUCCUACGGGAGGCAGCAGUGGGGAAUAUUGCACAAUGGGCGGAAGCCUGAUGCAGCGACGCCGCGUGGGGGAUGACGGCCUUCGGGUUGUAAACUCCUUUCGACCGCGAGGAAGCCACCUGGUUGGAAGGGUGGUGACGGUAGUGGUAGAAGAAGCACCGGCUAACUACGUG
rnacentral:rRNA from 1 species